ACACCAUGCGAGGCACUUCUGUCGUAAUGACACUGAGUGCGAAAGCUGGGUCAACAGGAUAGUAACCUGUAGUCACGCGUUAACGAUGAGUGCUACGGUAGAUGCUUUCCGUCUUUAGUGCGAAGUAACGCUUAUGCACUCCGCUGGAGAGUACGCCGCAGGGCUAAAUCAAAAGGAAUAAAGGGGGCGCGCACAAGCGGGGAGCAUGUGUUUUAUUUAGACGCAGCGGAAGACCUUCCGGCUCUAGACUCCUGUGACAUCCCUAGAGAUAGGGGUUCCCUUUCGGAAUCAGACUCACAGGGUGGCGCAUGUUGGUCACAUCUUGUCUCGUGAGGUGGGGGGUAAAGUCCUGCCAAGAGCGGAACCCUUUAUUUUAUUGCCAUCAUUUAAGUGGGCACUCUAAGGGGACUGCCGGGGACAAACCGGAGGAAAGGGGGGGAGACGUCAAAUCAUCCUGCCCCUUAUGACCUUGGGUACCACACUGGUACCAAUGACGGUACAAAAAGGUGCAAAACCCGGAGGGGGAGGUUAUUUCCAUAAAACCUUUUCCAUUCCGGAUGUCGGUUGCAAAUUGCCUUCCGGGAAGUGGGAAUCGUUGGUAUCCGGGAAUCACAAGGCCCCGGGGAUAACUUUCCCGGCCCUGGUCCACCCCCCCCGCCCCCCCAGGGAGUUUGGUACCCCCGAAGUCGCGGGGUAACAUUGGAGCCAGCCGCCUAAGAGUAUAGUGUG
rnacentral:rRNA from 1 species